CACAGUUUGCAGAAGAAAGCCUAUAGAAUUUUGGAGGAAAUAUGUGCAGGGGAACAGCCACCAUGCAAAGAAUUUGUAAACAACAAUCUGGAAGAAUUACAGAAAACACUCCUGACUUCCCUGAAAAGCACUUCAUCCUUUCAUCCCCUGGUAAACGGUAUGGAAGACAUUUUGGCUGAUUCUGAUGAAGUAGAGGAAGAGGAAGAGAAACCAACCAAACAACGAAAGAAACGGGCCCGGCAGAAGAGCCAGGCUUGGCUUAAAGAAGGGGAGGAAGAUGACCCAGUAAAUUUCCUUGAUCCCAAAGCUGCACAGCGUGUACUGGCUCUCGACAAAAGGCCAUGAUUCCCAGACCUGGAUGUAACGGAGAAGAAGGGCACGUAACCUCCUUUGCAACCACAGACUGGCACAGAAAAAAGAUAUUUUGUAGCAGUUACCGUAAAAGAGAUGCUAUAAGAAUACAGCAAUUCAGUAAGUACCCCUUUUUCUUAAUUAAACAUUAUGAAUGCUGAAGGUUUGCUCUCAUUAUGUUCCAUGGUGUGUGCUGAAAAGCCAAAUAAUGUACCCGCUUGUGUUAUACUCACAGGGAUGCAUUGGGACAGUGAAUGCAAUAAAAGGAACAAGUAAUAUUUUUUCCUACAUUCCAAGUUUCUCUGUGUUUCUUUGGGUAUGGUGCUUUAAGGUCAAUGUGCUCCAUUAUUACAUUAUACGUUAUUGGUAAAAUACAUUUUUACAUUUUUUUUUUUACACUUGGUUUGUACAUGAGACAUAAACGUGUGACAUAAAGAAGAAUUCUCGCUUAUUGAGAGCUUAUAGCCAAAAAGUGAAAUAAUUCUAGAACCAUAAAAAAUGAUGACCAACUGCAAAUUAUUUCAGAAUAUCAUUGUCGACAUCAUACUAAAAUUAAAUUUUAAGACAAAUUAGCCCUUUAAAGUUAAUAUUAAAACAUAAAUCCCAAAUCUUAAAGACAAUUUUGACCUGAAUAAAUCUAAAACUCAAUAAAGACAAAUUGAGCCAAUGAAACACUUUACUCACAGUCGCACCAUUGGUUGAAUUAGCACAUGUUUGUACAUGUGAGCAGUAACGCCACGUCAAGGCUUCAACCCUGUUACCGGCA